rnacentral:rRNA from 1 species
AUUGAACGCUGGCGGCAGGCCUAACACAUGCAAGUCGAACGAGUGGCGGACGGGUGAGUAAUUUCUGGAAAACUGCCUGAUGGAGGGGGAUAACUACUGGAAACGGUAGCUAAUACCGCAUACCAUCCUAUGUUCCCAGAUUGGAUUAGCUAGUUGGUGGGGUAACGGCUCACCAAGGCGACGAUCCCUAGCUGGUCUGAGAGGAUGACCAGCAAAACUGGAACUGAGACACGGUCCAGACUCCUACGGGAGGCAGCAGUGGGGAAUAUGGAGCAAUGGGCGCAAGCCUGAUGCAGCCACGCCGCGUGUAUGAAGAAGGCCUUCGGGUUGUAAAGUACUUUCAGCGGGGAGGCGGUACCCGCAGAAGAAGCACCGGCUAACUCCGUGCCAGCAGCCGCGGUAAUAC